AGGAAGGUGGAAGAAGUUCUCCUUGUCUAUCCAAUUUCCAGCAGCCCUCUAGCACUCCAAGCACGAAUUUCCUUUCAUUUCCUUGAUGUUCUAAGACUCCUAUAAAUAUGGGACAAGCCUUACCUCCCAUUCUACCUUAAGACAAAUUUAUAGAACCAAGAUCCAAAACCAAGACAGCACUAGCAACUCCAAAACCGGUCACUAAAGGCUUAAAAGGGGGCUUUUGUUUCAGAAUUUGUUUGAAAAAGGAGCUAAGAAACUAUACAAGGAAAGUAAGUAUUUCUAUACUUACUGAGAACGAAGCUGGUGGAUUUUUCCAUGAUAUUGUGUUUAUUGUUUUAUUUAAUUUGUUCAUUGCAUGUGGCCGAUCAUGCAUAGCAUGUUGUGUCUAAAAUAAUAUAACGGCUGAUGAGAUAGCCAUCAACAAGCUGAUGUAGUAGCAAGGAGAAGAAAGGCUAGUCAGUGGAUCCAGGGGGUUCAGAGUGACCUAGGGGUGUCCGAAGGCCUAAUAUAUAACUAAUGCUGGGACCGGUAGGAUUCCAGUAAAAACAGGUAAGACUUUAAGUGUGAGGCAACGGGCGUGAACGAACAGGGAUUUAAUGGCCCUGGGUACGAGAGUCUGAAGAAAGAUGAUCAUAAAAUACAAACUAAAUGGUUACUACGAUGCAUAUUCAUACAACCAAUACAUUUGCAUUAUACGCGUGGCUAUAAAGCCAUAUCUGCAUGAUAAGGAAUUUAUUAAGUAAAUCAGUAUUCACCUCAUUAUUGGAAACAGUGGACUCA